rnacentral:lncRNA from 1 species
GUGAGCUCGCUUUCUUUGGCUCCAGGUCUGAACAGAGGUUAGAGGUGCCGACCAUUUGCCCCACCUUUGCCAUCAGUAGCUCUUGAAGCACAAAUCAUUCCUUCUGCAGUGUGCUGCGCAGUGGAGACAUGGAGAAAGGCGACACUGCUCCUGGCCUCCCGUGCUUGCAGAAUGAUGAGCACAGUCAGAGUGCAGUGGAGCGGCCCAGUGCAGGGCCAGGCCCCGGGAAGACAUGGGAGAUGGUACCUCUGCCGCACAGAUAACACCUAAACCCACCUCCACUCACUGGAAAAUGCUUUCAUGGGAAGCAGUAAUUCUCCCU